rnacentral:rRNA from 4 species
AAAUUGAAGAGUUUGAUCAUGGCUCAGAUUGAACGCUGGCGGCAGGCCUAACACAUGCAAGUCGAACGGUAACAGGAAGCAGCUUGCUGCUUUGCUGACGAGUGGCGGACGGGUGAGUAAUGUCUGGGAAACUGCCUGAUGGAGGGGGAUAACUACUGGAAACGGUGGCUAAUACCGCAUAACGUCGCAAGACCAAAGAGGGGGACCUUCGGGCCUCUUGCCAUCAGAUGUGCCCAGAUGGGAUUAGCUUGUUGGUGAGGUAACGGCUCACCAAGGCGACGAUCCCUAGCUGGUCUGAGAGGAUGACCAGCCACACUGGAACUGAGACACGGUCCAGACUCCUACGGGAGGCAGCAGUGGGGAAUAUUGCACAAUGGGCGCAAGCCUGAUGCAGCCAUGCCGCGUGUAUGAAGAAGGCCUUCGGGUUGUAAAGUACUUUCAGCGGGGAGGAAGGUGUUGUGGUUAAUAACCGCAGCAAUUGACGUUACCCGCAGAAGAAGCACCGGCUAACUCCGUGCCAGCAGCCGCGGUAAUACGGAGGGUGCAAGCGUUAAUCGGAAUUACUGGGCGUAAAGCGCACGCAGGCGGUCUGUCAAGUCGGAUGUGAAAUCCCCGGGCUCAACCUGGGAACUGCAUUCGAAACUGGCAGGCUUGAGUCUUGUAGAGGGGGGUAGAAUUCCAGGUGUAGCGGUGAAAUGCGUAGAGAUCUGGAGGAAUACCGGUGGCGAAGGCGGCCCCCUGGACAAAGACUGACGCUCAGGUGCGAAAGCGUGGGGAGCAAACAGGAUUAGAUACCCUGGUAGUCCACGCCGUAAACGAUGUCUACUUGGAGGUUGUGCCCUUGAGGCGUGGCUUCCGGAGCUAACGCGUUAAGUAGACCGCCUGGGGAGUACGGCCGCAAGGUUAAAACUCAAAUGAAUUGACGGGGGCCCGCACAAGCGGUGGAGCAUGUGGUUUAAUUCGAUGCAACGCGAAGAACCUUACCUGGUCUUGACAUCCACGGAAGUUUUCAGAGAUGAGAAUGUGCCUUCGGGAACCGUGAGACAGGUGCUGCAUGGCUGUCGUCAGCUCGUGUUGUGAAAUGUUGGGUUAAGUCCCGCAACGAGCGCAACCCUUAUCCUUUGUUGCCAGCGGUCCGGCCGGGAACUCAAAGGAGACUGCCAGUGAUAAACUGGAGGAAGGUGGGGAUGACGUCAAGUCAUCAUGGCCCUUACGACCAGGGCUACACACGUGCUACAAUGGCGCAUACAAAGAGAAGCGACCUCGCGAGAGCAAGCGGACCUCAUAAAGUGCGUCGUAGUCCGGAUUGGAGUCUGCAACUCGACUCCAUGAAGUCGGAAUCGCUAGUAAUCGUGGAUCAGAAUGCCACGGUGAAUACGUUCCCGGGCCUUGUACACACCGCCCGUCACACCAUGGGAGUGGGUUGCAAAAGAAGUAGGUAGCUUAACCUUCGGGAGGGCGCUUACCACUUUGUGAUUCAUGACUGGGGUGAAGUCGUAACAAGGUAACCGUAGGGGAACCUGCGGUUGGAUCACCUCCUUACCU